rnacentral:rRNA from 1 species
CGAAAGCCUGACGGAGCAACGCCGCGUGAGGGAUGAAGGCCUCUGGGCUGUAAACCUCUUUUAUCAAGGAAGAAGAUCUGACGGUACUUGAUGAAUAAGCCACGGCUAAUUCCGUGCCAGCAGCCGCGGUAAUACGGGAGUGGCAAGCGUUAUCCGGAAUUAUUGGGCGUAAAGCGUCCGCAGGCGGCCUUGUAAGUCUGUCGUCAAAGCGUGGAGCUUAACACCAUUUAAGCGAUGGAAACUGCAAGGCUAGAGUGUGGUAGGGGCAGAGGGAAUUCCCGGUGUAGCGGUGAAACGCGUAGAUAUCGGGAAGAACACCAGUGGCGAAGGCGCUCUGCUGGGCCAUAACUGACGCUCAUGGACGAAAGCCAGGGGAGCG